rnacentral:lncRNA from 1 species
CACCAUAUUAUUUUAGCCAUGGAGUAAAGAGAACAAUUUCUUUUGCCUUGACAGCUUGACAGCCUCCAGCGGAGGCUUGUUUGGCAGCCUGGUGGAAAAGUGGGCAAAAGAAGAGGUCUAGAUGUCACAGCCUUUAUGUACUUUGGAUAAUGCCUCUCCAAAGGAAGAAUGCCAGGAAGGGAGUGCAAAGGCUGAUGGAAGUGACAUAGAAGCCAGCAUCAUCAGCUAUGAACAUGCAGAAUGAAGCAAGGGGAUUCAGCAGAAACAGUGAAGACCCUGAGAAUAAGGACAAGUGUUUGGUGGACAAAGCACCAGGAUCUGGAGUUACUAGCAACUAAAGGAGAAAGGCAUGAGGUCAAUAGAGGUAGAAAAAAAAAAAAGCCCAAGGGACUACAGAUGGUGGAGCCUGUUGAGAUGAGGUGCUGGGGAUCAAGCAGUGAGUGUUUGUUUCCCAUCUGGGCUUUUGCAUAGUCAAGACUCCACCUCUGAAACUUGAUCUACAAGUGCCAAUAUUGACCUUGAGUGUAUUGAUAAACCCAAAGACUUCUUCACCAUCUUUACCA